rnacentral:rRNA from 1 species
AUGGGCAGCCCUGCCGCCAUCCUCCUAGCCGUGCUACUCGCCGCGCUCGCGUACGUGCUUCGCGUGCUCCGCAGCCUCGUGUGGAUCCCGUACCGACUGGAGCGCCGCCUGCGCCGGCAGGGCAUCCGGGGCCCUCCGCGCAGCCUCAUCUCCGGAAACGGGGCCGACUACGGCGCCCUUCUCGCCGCCGCCCAGUCCAAGCCGCUUGCCUCCUUCCACCACGCCAUCGUCGGCCGCGUCGCGCCGCACUACCGCGAGUGGCCCGCGCGGUACGGCCGGCCGUUUGUGUUCUGGUUCGGGCCCCGGUCGUGGCUGGUGUUCUCCAGCCCGGAAGUCGCCAAGGCCGCGCUGAACGACUCCACGGGGACCUUCGAUAAGGCUGGCAACGGCGGCGGCAGCAACCCGCUCGCUCGGCAGCUCAUCGGCGAGGGACUGGUGGGGCUCACCGGGGAGAAGUGGGCGCACCACCGCCGUGUGAUCUCGCCCGCCUUCAACAUGGAGAGGGUGAAGGGCUGGAUACCAGAAAUGUCAGCAAUCGCCUCAUCCAUGCUGGAUAAAUGGGAAGUCCAAGGAGGAACCCACACUGAGUUUGAGAUUGAUGCAAAUAAAGAAUUCCAAACUUUGAGUUCUGAUGUUAUUUCUCGCGUGGCAUUUGGAAGUAGCUACGAGGAAGGAAAGCGAGUUUUUCAACUGCAAGAAGAACAGAUAAAUCUAGCCCUCCUUGCAAUGAGAACCUUCUACUUUCCUGGAUUCAGGUUUUUACCGACAAAGAAGAACCAAAGAAGGCAUAGCCUAAACCAGGAAAUCCGAAGUUCUCUGCGGAAAUUGAUUGAGACCAAUGGAAGGAAGUGUGAGGACUCCAAAAAUUUGCUUGGCUUGAUGCUAUCAGCCAGCAAAACUGAUAAUGAGUUCAAAAUGGGAAUCGAAGAGAUCAUUGAUGAGUGCAAGACAUUUUACUUUGCUGGUAAAGAAACAACUGCAAAUUUGUUGACAUGGGCAACACUUCUGCUGGCAUUGCAUAAAGAAUGGCAAGACAAAGCCCGCAGCGAAGUCUAUCAAGUGUGUGGCAAGCACAAGCACCCAAACGCGGAAAACCUGAGCAGUCUCAAAAUUGUAAAUAUGGUGUUGAAGGAGACCCUCAGGCUGUAUCCUCCAGCUCUGUUUAUCAACAGGACAGUCACUAGGGAUGUGAAGCUGGGCAAACUCGACAUCCCUGCAGGCACGCAGCUCAAUCUGCCUAUUAUUGAGAUUCACCAUGAUGUCGACAUAUGGGGAGCUAAUGCAGAGGAGUUCGAUCCAUCGAGGUUUGCAGAUGGCAAGAGCUAUCACCUCGGCGAGUACUUCCCCUUUGGUAUUGGCCCUGCUAUCUGUGUUGGGCAGAAUCUCGCGAUGGUUGAGGCAAAGCUGGCGCUUGCAAUGGUCCUCCAGCGGUUUGCGUUUGAUGUCCCGCCGUCCUAUGUUCAUGCGCCGAUGAAGGUGAUGACCCUCCAACCCCAGUAUGGUGCUCAACUUCUUGUCCACAAGAUCUGA